GGCAGCCAAGAGAAGAUCCGGAUGUGAUUCCCAUAGAGAGAAGCGGGAAUAGGAAGCAGAGUGCAAGCUUUGAAGUUCAACAAUUGCUGCAGACUCUCAUAGAGAGAAAAUCCCAUCCUCGUUGUAUAGUCUGCCAAGAGAAGAACUGGAUUUGAUUCUAGCAAUCAGAGUGCAAGCUUUGAGGUUCAACAAAUGGUGCAGAUGAUGAUGUAUUCAUGUAGCUGACUGCUGACCCAUAUAACUGAGAUAAAGGCUUGGAAGAUGAUGAUGAUGAAGAAGAAUUUAUAACAGAUCCAGUGUCAAUUCAUGCCCUUUAUCGCCCUGUUCAAAACCUUCCAAAUGCAAGAAAGCUGCAUUGCCCUUUGCUCGAUCGUGUCCCUCUUAAUGGAGGCUUUCUCCUUAUUGGCGUCAAUGUUAUUAGAAGCAUCUCUUUGGCAAAGUAUUUGAAAAACUCGAGAAGGUAUUACAAGGGGGAGAGAGAGAACUAUGGACUUGGGUGCAUUGCCCUUUCUACUCAGCAGCUUGCGCUUACUGCUGGGAGAAGCAGAGCUCAUACGAGGCAUUCACGAACAGAUUCGUAAUCUUACACUUGAAUUAGAAGAAAUUCAAGCAGUCCUAAUGAAAGCUUACAAAGAGCAGGAGAGCAACGGAAGUGAGAAUCCGAGGAUAAAACAAUUUGGAGAGAUAGCUUAUGACAUCGAAGUUGUAAUAGACAAGUACAAGCUUUAUGCCAUUCAAGAGUCUCACAAUAAUUACCCUCAGUUGCCAUGGAACUGGAGACCAUGGAACUGGGGACCUUUCCAUUCCCUAGGCAGAGAGAUAGAAAAUAUUCGGAAAAGGAUCAACGACCUCAAGGAACAUAGAGAAAGAUGCAGGGAUAUCAUCUCAAUAAGUAGUCAAAAAGCCCCAUCUGGUUCUACUACCACAAUCAUAACACAAGAGUUCAAUAAUUUGGCCUCCUUGUUCCUUGAUGAAUCUCAGAUUAUAGGCUUUGAUAAACCAGUACACCAGCUGAUUUCCAGGAUAAGGGAACCAAGAUCAAUGACUACUGUGAUCUCCAUCGUUGGCAUGGGUGGUUUGGGCAAGACAACCCUUGUCAGAAAAGUGUACAAUAUGUUAAAAGAAACAUUUGAAUGCCAUGCUUGGGUGGCAGUGGAGCAAUCAUACAGCAAAACGGAGAGCUUGAAGAGCUUGUCAUCCCAAAUUGUCCCAUCAAGUGGGAUCAGUAGUAGUCUAGAGGCCGAACCACAUAGCAAGACCCCUUCAAGAACCAAUUUAGUUCACAUAAUGGCCAAGGUGAAGGAUUAUUUGCAGCAUAAAAGGUAUGUGGUUGUUUUUGAUAAUAUAUGGAAACCAGAUAUUUGGGAAAACUUCAGCAGCUUGUUACCAAACAACGAAUGCGGUAGUAGAAUAAUUGUUACAACGCGUAGAAACGAUGUUGCCAAUUCUUGCACUGGAUAUUCUGGUCAUGUCUAUAACCUACAACCUCUACCUUUGGCGGAGGCACGAGAACUCCUGUGCAAGAGGGCCUUCUCGUCAAGCUUUGCAGAAUGCCCUGCAGAGAGGAAGGAGUGGUCUGAAAAGAUUGUAACGAGGUGCGAAGGAUUGCCUCUUGCAAUUGUUGAAAUAGGUAAACUAAUACUAAGUAACAAAAGCAAAGCCAUGGUUGAAUGGAGAAAGCUGCACGAUACUCUUGGCUCCGAGUUAGCAAGGACAGGAUCUCUUUCACGUAUUACUGGAAUAUUAUCUCUAAGUUUUAACAAUCUGAUGUCCUACUCCUUCCACCAUACCUAUUGUCUCUUGUACAUUAGUAUUUUUCCCAAGGGUUACGCUGUUAGCUGUAGAAGGUUGAUUCGGUUAUGGAUGGCUGAAGGAUUCAUCGAGGAAAUGGGGGACAGAACAUUGGAAGAUGUUGCAGAGGAUUACCUCAAUCAUCUCAUCGGGAGUAACUUGCUUCAUAUCGUGGACACAGAGAUCGACGGGCGACCCAGAACUUGUCGGCUUCAUUAUUUGAUGAACGACAUCAUAGUUUCGAGGGCCGAAAAUGAAGACUUUUUUAAAAUUCUCAGAGAGUCGAAUCAAAACUUGGGAAACCGAAUCCGCCGCUUACUUGUUCAUGAUGGUUGCAGGAAUCUAUCCUACAACAACAGGGGCUCCUACCCAUAUGUUCGAUCCUUUUUCAGGUUCCCAUUGGAUAGAUCAUCUUCGUCCACCUCCUUUAGCGACAAAGUUAUUUCAAACUUUAGGCUCUUGAAGGUUUUGGAUUUGGAGAAUGCACCCUUGGAUACUUUUCCUAAUGGAAUUGACUAUCUACUUCUGUUAAGGUAUCUAAGUUUGAGRAAUACCAGGGUCAAAAAUCUGCCCAAGUCGCUUGGUAAGCUUGUAAACCUUGAAACUUUGGAUCUUAAGCAUACAUUCAUCACUAAAUUGCCCUCUGAAAUUGCCCAUCUUCAUCGACUACGCCAUCUUUUAGUCUAUCGGUACGACUUUCAAAACUAUGCGCCUUUCGAUUGUGUAAGAGGUGUUAGUGUGCAUGAGAAAAUUGGUGGCUUAACUGCUUUGCAGAAGCUAGCUUUUGUAAAAGCAAGCAAGCAUACUGGAAUUGUCCAAGACUUGAAAAUUUUGACCCAACUAAGGAAAUUGGGGAUUGUCGAACUGGAAGGAGAAAGUGGGAAAGAUUUGUGUAUCUCCAUUGAGAAGAUGCAGAGCCUUCACAGUUUAAGCAUAUCAUCACAAAGAAUGGAGGAACAUCUUGAUCUACAGACUAUGUCUUAUCCCCCUCGCCAUCUUCAACGUUUAUAUCUGAAGGGGCACCUUCAAAGCAUGCCCAGAUGGAUUUCAGAACUUCACGACCUGGUCAGGAUACGCCUGAAGUGGUCAAAGUUGAAGGAUAAUCCCAUUGAAGCCCUUCAAGAUUUGCCUAGCCUAAUGGAGCUUCAGUUGCUUGAUGCUUACAGUGGAGAUAAGUUGGAGUUCAUGCAAAAGAAAUUUAAGAAACUUAAGAUACUGGAAUUUGAACAACUGUGUCAAYUGCGUACGGUGAUACUGUACAAAGGCACAUUGCCCAACCUUCAGAAACUAGUUAUAAGAUGCUGUCCAAUGYUAAGAGCAGUGCCUAGAGGAAUUGACAACCUUACCCAACUGAAGGAACUUGAAUUGCAGGAUAUGGAUGAAACAUUCAUAAAUGGUAUUCGAAAGAACGGAGGUGAAUGCCGUAGGAUGGUCAAUCACAUCCCAAAAAUUCGUUCUUGCUCUCAUGGUUGUUGGACAGAUCUUUCAUGAUUCCUCUUUCAAUUCCUCCUGCACUGCUACUAUCUGUAUCUUUGCAGAAGUACUGUGUUUCAUGAAGGAUCCUAAUAAUACACAUGAUUCGUCUUGUAAAGGACAAGCCAAUUGGUUUCAUAAUGUAGGGUUCUAGCAUAAGAAACUACAGCUAGCGUCUUCAUCCAUUAUCAUUCUCAACUCAUUGUCUCAAUCGAAUGAAGUGGUGCGCACUUGUUUAUAGAGAUCAUAUCUAUAUGAUCAUUUGGGAUUUCUGAGAGGAAAAUGGCAUUGCUUUGAUAUUGCUGAUUCAUUUCUACCUACUAUUGCCUUGUAUUAGAGUUCUGGAUGUUUAAUUUAGUUCUGAUUUUCUGUUCUUUUCUUCUGAUUUUUUUCUUUUCCCUUAGAUUUGUUUAUUCAUGGUUGUUGGAAUACAAAGAUGGUAAUUUGAUUAAGGCACUUAUUAAUUAA